AAUUAUGGAGCAUAAAAUCUUGGGGUUUACAUUACUGUUGCUGGCUUCUCAAUAUUGUUGGUGUCAAACACUGACUGAGUCUGAGGCUCCAGUCAUGAAACCUGGAGAAUCCCAUAAACUGACAUGCACUGCCUCUGGUUUGGACAUGGCUAGCUACCGAAUGGCUUGGAUCAGACAGAAGUCUGGAAAAGAGCUGGAAUGGCUGGCAGCGAUCAGCUAUGAUAGCCAGUAUAUAUACUACUCUCAGUCUGUUCAAGGACGGUUCACCAUCUCCAGAGACAACAGUAGGAAGCAGGUGUAUCUGCAGAUGAACAGCCUGAAGAAUGAAGACACUGCUGUAUAUUAUUGUGCAAGAGACACAGUGACUGAAAUGACUACAGCACUGUGCACAAAACCUGCCAAGACAGUAGACAGAUAAGACAUUUUUACACAAAAUAGUGAUGAGCUAGAAAACAG